UCUUCUUGGGGUGAUUUUCAUUUUAAAGUGAACGAGUCCUUUAACUGUCACCUUCCUGCCAAAGGGACGUUUGGCGCUGUUUAUAUUUAUUGCCUUUUUUUUCUUUUUUCUUUUUUGUAUCACAUAUUUUAGUAAUCAUCAUGAAUUAGGUAUCAUUCAAAAGCUUAAAAAUUCAUCCUGUGUAAACCAUUUUGAAAUUGGGCAUUGCUUUACCAUCCUUUUAGCGGCCCCUCCCCCUAGUUGGUGUUGUCAUGUUUUAUUUUACAAAAUGUAUUUAUAUACUUUAUAGUCAAAACGAAAAGGUCUAAAUCUCCAUAUUUGGCGUCUGUUUUGUGAUAGGAGUGAUAUUUAGACAUAAAUUUAUUUAAUUGUUACAGGAGAAUGCAUAAAAAAAAUUCAGUGGAAUGUGGAUGACACCAGGUGGCUAUUUUUGGUACAACGCAAACAAAAUCUUAUGGGAACUUCAAUUUUUGUGAUAUCAGCUUCAAAUUUGGAUCACAACUUGGUUAGACAUAUGGGUUUGAUUUUAUAUAAAUCUUAGAGAAAAAAUUAUUUUGUAAAAUAUAUGUUUUAUAUAAAAAUUUUUUUUUUUUAGUACAAGUACAUUUGAUUUACAGUCAAUUUAAACUUGUAUAACUUUUUCAUACUUUAAUUUUAAUUUUAAGUCCAACAAUCUGCUGAGUGUCUUCUUUAAAACAAGACCAAACAAAGGAGUUAAAUAACAAUAAUAAAAAAAAAAACAAUACAAAAAUAAUAUCAGAAAGAUAUUCAGUUCUGCUGUUGUUCAUAUACCAGUAGUGAUGUUAUACAAUGAGGAUGUUGCCAUGUUGCCAGAAAUAGAGUCAUCAGUGUCCUAAUGUGUAGCCAGGGUCCUUACUGUCCUUACCAGUGCCCCAAUUUGUGUACAUGAUAUACUGAUUCAUGACCUCGUAAGAUAGGGAGCUGAUUGAGACGCACCUGAAAUCUGUUAAUGUCCAGUUUGAGCAACAGUUCUCUAAUUAUCUAGGCUGAUUAAUUAAUAAAUAAGCUAAAAAAAAAUGUAGGCUAAACCCAGAAUCCCCCAUUCGAAGAGAGACACUGGACUGUGAGGAUUUUAAUAUUCUUAAUGUAUGCUGCAUUACCAGUAAGUAAUAAUAUCAGACAGACAAACAUGAGUCAAAAGUUAAUUAACAUAAGCCCUUUUUGAUCUAAAUGGUCCACUUUAUUAUUAUUCUACAACAUGGAGAAAGAAUCUGUGGGACAAAUGCAAGAGACAAGUGUUUGGGACAUGUGUAUGACUCCAGUCCCAAGUCUGAUUGGUGUCUUGGGUGCUCCAUAAAAGGAAAGAGUAAAACAGGCUCCUGGGAAGAAAAGAAACGCCACAGUGUCAAUACAGAAGAGCUGAAGAACACCAUCAUCGUGAAAGAUCAGAGGAUGACUGUGAAGGAAUGAGAGUUUUGGAGGUAUUGCUGUAGAUUUGGAAAGUUUCAAUACAGAGACAGAUAUUGUCUGUAUUUCUUGGGCCGAUCAGGCUGGUUGUUCUCGUCUCAGAUCCAUGAGCCCCUUCUUUUCAUGUUGCCAUGGGCAACUACAACGCCGCACUUGUUGCUGAUGUUGAAGAAUUCAAGUCCAUUGUGUCAACUCUAGAGAACCAGCGUAUUCUGUCUGAACACAACAGACUGGAGAACACACUCUCAGUUUAUCAUGCUGUCGAGGAACAAGCAGGACAGGAAAUGAAUGAAGUGAAUCAGGAACCAGACUUGCUGGCCCUCAAGUUUCUUUACAGUAACACAGAUGAACCCGAAGACUCCAAAGAGCCCGUCAGCAACUGUACCUCUGCUCCUGCACCAGUGGUUUCCUCUUCUUCUUCUUCUGGCACAGCAAACACGACCUCGCUCCCUGCAUAUCUCUCGGCAUUAUUAGCAGCUAAACCCCGACCGGCCCUGCAGGGCCCCGCCACCUUGGAGCAGAUGAGAGCAGAGCUCCGAGAUCUUCGAGAUGAACUGGAUACGCUGAAGACUCAGCAGAAGUUAGUGCAAUAUGGAUAAAAGAGAUCAGACUGCUCAUGAACGAACUGGAUGAAGAAAAGAAGAUGCGUUUGUCACUGCAAAUCGAAGUAGAACGCCUUAAGAAACACAUGUCCAAGUGAACCAACUCUGAGGUCCAUCACCUGGUCAAAGCGGUCAAACCACACCGAUACGCCACCGUGAGUCGGAAUCGGCAAACUCAAAGAGUGGAAAUGAAAAACUUUCAGAGACUGAGGAAGAACUCUUGAGAAUUUAUAUCAAGAUUCAUUGUGAAAACAUAUUGUGUUAGUGCUUUAUACAUGGGUGAUAUAAAAGAAUGUUUUGGGUUUUAAACCCCUGAAGAUGACGGGAAAGAGACUAUCUAUAUAGUUUCAAUCAAUUCAAAUCAGUACAUUACAGAAUGAUGUUAGAUCUUUAAUUUAAUUCUUUAUAUAUAACAAAGUCUUCCCAUUUUGUGCAGAAGAUUCUAAAGUUUAAGAAUAGUGUUCAGUAGUUUGGAGUCAAUAAGAUUUUUUUAUGUUUCUGAAAGAAGUCUCUUAUACUCAAAUAUGCUCUCAACUUAUACUCUCUUAUAAGGAUGCAUUUAUUUUAAUAAAAAAAUCAUUAUAUUGUGAAAUAUUAUUACAAUUUAAAAAUGUUUUCUAUUUUAAUGUAUUUUAAAAUGUAAUGUAUUCCUGUGAUCAAAGCUGAAUUUUCAGCAUCAUUACUCCAGUCUUCAGUGUCACAUGAUCCUUCAGAAAUCAUUCUAAGAUGAUGAUUUGCUGCUCAAGAAACUUAUAUUAUUAUCAAUGUUGAAAAGUAUGUUUGUUCAGGAAUCUUUGAUGAAUAGUAAGUAAAAAACAGUAUUUUUAGUAACAAUGAAAAAUAUUGAUUUGAUCAAUUAAAAAAAACAAAAAACUUUCAUCUUACAAAAGAAAACAAUUCUUACUGAUCCCGAACAUUUGAAAGGUAGUGUAUAAUGAAAUGUAUUAAAGGCACAAUAUUUUUUUUUUUUCACCGUUAGAGGUCACCUAUUCAAAAUGAAGGUGUAGCUUGAUGACACUGAAAUUGAGCGUAGAAUCAUGGGAAAUGUCGUCUUCACCUCACAGCCAGUGGAAAAGAAUCCCACGGGACUUGGGCAGAAAUCAUGUUCUAAUAUCAUUAUGCCACAGUUCCACUGUAUGUGUAUUGGAGGUAAAGCAGCGCUGUUUAUCAUAUUAGAUACAUUUGUGUGUUGAAAUUAUGUUUGUUAUAUUACUCUUGGUGUUCGCUCGACAGCUACUAUGAGACACACUGCAGUAAGCUAGAUUGAUAUUAGAAUAUCAUAUUAAUACAGUCAAGAAAACGAGAUUCAAACAAUAAGACUAAAUGUGUUUAGCUAUAUAACAAUGAUUAGUUUCCUGUUU